rnacentral:rRNA from 1 species
UACGGGGGGGGCAAGCGUUGUUCGGAAUUACUGGGCGUAAAGGGCUCGUAGGUGGCCAACUAAGUCAGACGUGAAAUCCCUCGGCUUAACCGGGGAACUGCGUCUGAUACUGGAUGGCUUGAGUUUGGGAGAGGGACGCGGAAUUCCUGGUGUAGCGGUGAAAUGCGCAGAUAUCAGGAGGAACACCGAUGGCGAAGGCAGGUCUCUGGGCAUUAACUGACGCUGAGGAGCGAAAGCAUGGGGAGCGAACAGG